rnacentral:rRNA from 1 species
UACGAAGGGGGGCUAGCGUUGCUCGGAAUGACUGGGCGUAAAGGGCGCGUAGGCGGUUUAGACAGUCAGAUGUGAAAUUCCCGGGCUUAACCUGGGGGCUGCAUUUGAUACGUCUAGGCUUGAGUGAGGAAGAGGGUUGUGGAAUUCCCAGUGUAGAGGUGAAAUGCGCAGAUAUCAGGAGGAACACCGAUUGCGAAGGCAGCUCGCUGGAACGUUACUGACGCUGAGACGCGAAAGCGUGGGGAGCAAACAGG